rnacentral:lncRNA from 1 species
CUCGGAGCAUCUUAGCAGUGUUAGGGCUUCUCAGUGGUUGCGGCGAGGCUUUGCGGCCUGGGACGCACGUGUGAGGAGCUGGGGCUUCGGCGGGAGCAGCCAUGUUGUGUGGACGCGGUCCCUCGCGGGAGGGUGCGGCCGAGGCUCCCCGCCCGCGCCGUGGUAUACGGGGUCCUCUCUUCCGUCUGCUGCCCACGUCUCGGGCCUCCGCCAUCUUGUCCGCUUUGGGGCGAGGGUGAAGGCAGGGCCGUGAUUGGUCGUGAAUUCUCCUAGAAGAUUUCCGUUCCCUGUGUUAGGCCACCGGUUCUCAGAUCUUUAGGAAAAUCGCUCUUUUUUUCCCCUCUGACUGUGGGAAGUAGCUUUCUUGUCCUUGCUGGAACAAACACCGUAAGGGAUGGAAAGGAGCGGGUGUGGGCGUUUUCCUGUAGGGACCGAGAAAAUACACAGCUAAGGAAGAAGCGAGUCUCCAAGUGAAUUUAUGGGAUUGUUUCUGCGAACCAGGUGUAUCUUGAAGCCCAGGGGCCACCUGCCAUCACCCCAUUGUGCUGUUCCCCUUGAAGCCGUGGGCCCCACCUCUCCAGCAGAGUACAUGACCAUCUUGAGGGGCAGCCCCAGGCUCUGGACCCGUGAGAAGUUGGCAAGGAUGGC